rnacentral:tRNA from 1 species
GCCCAGGUGGUUGAAAUUGGUAGACACGCCAGCUUCAGGUGCUGGUGAUCGCAAGGUCGUGGAAGUUCGAGUCUUCUCCUGGGCACCA